rnacentral:rRNA from 1 species
GACGAACGCUGGCGGCGUGCCUAAUACAUGCAAGUAGGAAGCAGUUGCGAACGGGGGAGUAAGGAGUAGGGAACUACCUAUUAGAGGGGGAGAACUAUUGGAAACGAUAGCUAAUACCGCAUAAUAGUAGAUGGACCGGCGUUGUAUUAGCUAGUAGGUAGGGUAAUGGCCUACCUAGGCAACGAUACAUAGCCUACCUGAGAGGGUGAUCGGCCACACUGGGACUGCGACACGGCCCAGACUCCUACGGGAGGCAGCAGUAGGGAAUUUGCGGCAAUGGGGGGAACCCUGACCGAGCAACGCCGCGUGAGUGAAGAAGGUUUUCGGAUCGUAAAGCUCUGUUGUUAAGGAAGCGGUACUUAACCAGAAAGGGACGGCUAACUACGUGCCAGCAGCCGCGGUAAUUC